UACAGAGGUCUCAACCGUUGUUCGGAUUUAUUGGGCGUAAAGGGUGCGUAGGUGGCGGGGUAAGUCAGGUGUGAAAUCUCGGGGCUCAACCCCGAAACUGCAUUUGAUACUGCCUUGCUCGAGUACUGGAGAGGAGAUUGGAAUUUAGGUGUAGCAGUGAAAUGCGUAGAUAUCGUAAGGAAGACCAGUGGCGAAGGCGAAUCUCUGGACAGUUACUGACACUGAGGCACGAAGGCCAGGGGAGCAAACGGG
rnacentral:rRNA from 1 species